rfam:Myotis brandtii contig133614, whole genome shotgun sequence.
GGCAGUUCUCAGGUGACAAAACCCAGAAUCGGGCUCCCUCCUCUCUGGUUCUGGUUAUGUCACCUGGGAACCACA